UACUGCCCCCCUUAUCUAACAGUAUGUACAGUUCUGAUAUUUAUGCAUUCUGUGUAGCUUGUAUCUUAUCUUCACCAUUUUAUCCCUUUAUAUUUCUCUUAGGUUUCACCAUUCAGGGACCGAUAUAGCUGACAUCACUUCCUCCCGCAUGUGCCUUUGAUUCACAGCAGAAAAACUUGGUGAAAGAAACCAUGAUGAACACGUUUGACAGCAUAUGUGUAUAUCUAAUGAUGUUUACAGCCGCAUGUCUGGGUAAAACUGUUGUCCAGACGCCUGCUAACCUCAUCAAGAAUCAAGAUGAAUCUGCUGUGAUCAUAUGUGCUCACAAUGUACAGAGCUCUGAACGAAUAUUGUGGUACAAACAAAGUCAGGACUUGUCGGGCUUCAAGUUGAUGGGAUACCUUUAUUACAAAGCUAAUACUAGCGAGCCUGAAUUUUUAAACAAGAUCAUAUUGGAGGGAGAUGCAGAGAAAAAUGGCACUCUGACUAUCAAGAACCUCAUGCUGAAUGACAGUGCAGUGUAUUUCUGUGCAGCAUAUGACACAGUGCUCAGAAUCACAUCUGUCUAACACAAAAACUUGUGAAAAGAAAAUUUAUGUUUCUCCUCGCAGGUUUAGAUUCUGACUCACUGUCAAUACUAAACACAAUUAGUCUUGAAGCAAAUAUUUUGUUCUAAAGGGUUUUAGUUUUUAAAAGUAUUGAUUACUGUUAAGUUUUGAUGAUGGAUAAAACUAUGAUGAAGUGCAACAUGUUAGAAGAAUUUUAGACAGGAUAUAUUUGAGCCUACAGUACAAUCAACAUUUAGGACUUAUCUUUAACUGUCUGUGCAGCCUAUAGGCUAGCUGACAUCACUUCCUUCCUCUUGUGCCUUUGCUUCAUAACAGAAGAACUCACUUUAGUAGAAAGAGCUGACAUGAUGAACACUUUCCUUAGCAUAGCUGUAUGUCUAUUGUGGCUAACAGGUAAUAGUACAAAAUAUGAUGUUGUGCAAACUGUGAUUAACUUUAAUGUAAAUGUUAUUUCAAUGCUAUACUGAUCAUUUUAUUUGAAUCAUUAAUGCUCACUACAAACAGUAUUAUCUCUCUCCAUGCACAGUGGUAAAUCAUGCAAAAAC